rnacentral:rRNA from 1 species
AGCGAACGCUGGCGGCAGGCCUAACACAUGCAAGUCGAGCGCCGUAGCAAUACGGAGCGGCAGACGGGAGAGUAACACGUGGGAACGUGCCCUUUGGUUCGGAACAACCCAGGGAAACUUGGGCUAAUACCGGAUAAGCCCUUACGGGGAAAGAUUUAUCGCCGAAGGAUCGGCCCGCGUCUGAUUAGCUAGUUGGUGGGGUAAUGGCCCACCAAGGCGACGAUCAGUAGCUGGUCUGAGAGGAUGAUCAGCCACAUUGGGACUGAGACACGGCCCAAACUCCUACGGGAGGCAGCAGUGGGGAAUCUUGCGCAAUGGGCGAAAGCCUGACGCAGCCAUGCCGCGUGAAUGAUGAAGGUCUUAGGAUUGUAAAAUUCUUUCACCGGGGACGAUAAUGACGGUACCCGGAGAAGAAGCCCCGGCUAACUUCGUGCCAGCAGCCGCCGUAAAAC